UAUAAUAUAUUUGCAUUUAAAAUUUAUUAAAUUCAUACAUAAUUUUAUAAUAUAUAAAUUAUAUUUAGACAUAAAAAUCUUAAUUAAUAAUCAAAAUAUAAUUAUCUUAUGCUCAAAAGAGAUAAUCUCAUCUUUCUAUCUAAAAAUUAACAGAAUUUAUAAAUACAAAUCUCAACUGCAGAUUAACAAACAGAAGAAAUGUAACUGCAGCAGUUGAAACUGUAUAAAACUAGACAAACUGGGUGUAAUUAUGACUGUAGCAUUUACAACUGUAUGUACUUUUAAUUGCACUGUUUUUGUAACUACAUCCCACCUAACGGCCCAUAAAUGAAGCAGAGUUUAAGAUUCAUGGUUU
rnacentral:lncRNA from 1 species